rnacentral:tRNA from 1 species
GCUCGAAUGUUGGAAUUGGUAGACAAGCAUGUUUCAGGAGCAUGUGUCUUCACGGACAUGCGGGUUCGAGUCCCGCUUCGAGCA